GAGUUUGAUCCUGGCUCAGAUUGAACGCUGGCGGCAUGCUUUACACAUGCAAGUCGAACGGCAGCACGGAAGAGCUUGCUCUUUUGGUGGCGAGUGGCGAACGGGUGAGUAAUACAUCGGAACGUACCGAGUAGUGGGGGAUAACUGUCCGAAAGGAUGGCUAAUACCGCAUAUUCUCUGAGGAGGAAAGCAGGGGACCUUCGGGCCUUGCGCUAUUUGAGCGGCCGAUGUCUGAUUAGCUAGUUGGUGGGGUAAAGGCCUACCAAGGCGACGAUCAGUAGCGGGUCUGAGAGGAUGAUCCGCCACACUGGGACUGAGACACGGCCCAGACUCCUACGGGAGGCAGCAGUGGGGAAUUUUGGACAAUGGGGGGAACCCUGAUCCAGCCAUGCCGCGUGUCUGAAGAAGGCCUUCGGGUUGUAAAGGACUUUUGUUCAGGGAAGAAAAGCUUGAGGUUAAUACCCUUGAGUGAUGACGUACCGAGAAA
rnacentral:rRNA from 1 species